rnacentral:rRNA from 1 species
AUACGUAGGUGGCAAGCGUUGUCCGGAAUUAUUGGGCGUAAAGCGCAUGUAGGCGGUUUGGUAAGUCGGUCGUGAAAAUGCGGUGCUUAACGCCGUAUGGCGAUUGAAACUGCUGAACUUGAGUGCAGGAGAGGAAAGGGGAACUCCCAGUGUAGCGGUGAAAUGCGUAGAUAUUGGGAAGAACACCGGUGGCGAAGGCGCCUUUCUGGACUGUGUCGGACGCUCAGAUGCGAAAGCCAGGGUAGCGAACGGGAUUAGAUACCCCGGUAGUCCUGGCCGUAAACGAUGGGUACUAGGUGUGGGAGGUAUCGACUCCUUCCGUGCCGGAGUUAACGCAAUAAGUACCCCGCCUGGGGAGUACGGCCGCAAGGCUUAAACUCAAAGGAAUUGACGGGG